rnacentral:tRNA from 1 species
UGGGAUGUGGCUCAAGUGGUAGUGUGCUCGCCUGGCAUGCGUGCAGCCCGCGUUCGAUCCUCUGCACCACAU